rnacentral:rRNA from 1 species
AGAGUUUGAUCAUGGCUCAGGAUGAACGCUAGCUACAGGCUUAACACAUGCAAGUCGAGGGGAAACGACAUCGAAAGCUUGCUUUUGAUGGGCGUCGACCGGCGCACGGGUGAGUAACGCGUAUCCAACCUGCCCACCACUUGGGGAUAACCUUGCGAAAGUAAGACUAAUACCCAAUGACGUCUCUAGAAGACAUCUGAAAGAGAUUAAAGAUUUAUCGGUGAUGGAUGGGGAUGCGUCUGAUUAGCUUGUUGGCGGGGUAACGGCCCACCAAGGCGACGAUCAGUAGGGGUUCUGAGAGGAAGGUCCCCCANAUUGGAACUGAGACACCGGUCCAAACUCCGUACGGAGGCA